ACUAGGUGUCUGUGUGUGUAAGGGGUGUGCUACUUAGCCAUUAAGACUUGGCAGUGAGUGAGCGAGUUGAGUCUCUCGUGGGCACUGAAAGUGACCCACGGUCUGCUUGCCCGGGCCUGUGCUACUAUGGUAGGGCAGUGCCAGAGGGAGGGGAGUUGUUUGUUUUCCCAGGGCACUCAAAGGCACCAUCUGCUUGCCAAGCUCUGCACCUGCAAGGCGGCAUCUGCCAGGAGGAACGCUGCUUUCUAUUCCACACAAAGAACUCCAUAGGCUGCCGGUGGCUCUGUGCAGGGGGGACGGGGGGGGGUGAGCGGUUCCUAGGAGGUGAAAGAUGGAAAAAGAGGAGGACAAAGGCAGCCUGGGACCCCGAGGGGAGGCACAGGCAGCAAGCGCUACAUCUGAACUGCUUGGUGACAUCCCCUGCCUCUACCAGGAACCCGGGCCCUGGCUCUUUCCUCUCUUCACAGACAUAAACCUGUCCUCCUGGUUCUCGCUUGUGCCAGGGAGAAAAUUGACGUGGUGCCCGACAGUGCUGCUUUUUCCAGAGGCAGCUGCAUCUAUACAGAGGUCAGAGCUUUCAUCAGCAACGCUUGGUGCACAGAUUCUGCACGCACUGGCCUUUCUGACUUGCUCAGAGCACUAUGCUGCGAACCAUUGCUACCAAGGACAUUCACGGCCAGGCAUGAUGGGUGACCAGGCAUCCCACACUGGUGAGGCCGAGGCGGGAGCGUUGCUUCACGGUGUUUCGUCACAGUGGUGGAAACCCCGAGGACCGACCCUGACUCAAAACAACAAUGGCAAUUAACAACACAAAGGCAACAGCAGCAGGAGUGGCAGGCCUGGCUGAUAGGGAGAGUGGAGGAAGCAAGCCGCGUCCCGUCUAUAACUGGAAUGGAUAGGUGCCACUGGGUAUGAGAUCCAUUUUGCUGGAGACAGACUGUAACCCAAGGAGAUGUGGUUACCAACCUUGCAUCCCAAAACCAGGGCGAUCCAGACAUCCGGGUACCGUGAAGCACAAAAGUGUGUGUUGGUCAAAGAGCAGGACACAUCU